AAUAGAUACCCAGGUAGUCCAUGCCGUAAACGUUGGGCACUAGGUGUGGGGCUCAUUCCACGAGUUCCGUGCCGCAGCAAACGCAUUAAGUGCCCCGCCUGGGGAGUACGGCCGCAAGGCUAAAACUCAAAGGAAUUGACGGGGGCCCGCACAAGCGGCGGAGCAUGCGGAUUAAUUCGAUGCAACGCGAAGAACCUUACCAAGGCUUGACAUGCACGGGAAGCCACCAGAGAUGGUGGUCUCUUUGGACACUCGUGCACAGGUGGUGCAUGGUUGUCGUCAGCUCGUGUCGUGAGAUGUUGGGUUAAGUCCCGCAACGAGCGCAACCCUCGUCCCAUGUUGCCAGCGGGUUAUGCCGGGGACUCAUGGGAGACUGCCGGGGUCAACUCGGAGGAAGGUGGGGAUGACGUCAAAUCAUCAUGCCCCUUAUGUCUUGGGCUUCACGCAUGCUACAAUGGCCGGUACAAAGGGCUGCGAUACCGUAAGGUGGAGCGAAUCCCAAAAAGCCGGUCUCAGUUCGGAUUGGGGU
rnacentral:rRNA from 1 species